CCUACGGGAGGCAGCAGUGAGGAAUAUUGGUCAAUGGACGCAAGUCUGAACCAGCCAUGCCGCGUGCAGGAAGACGGCUCUAUGAGUUGUAAACUGCUUUUGUACGGGGGUAAACGCAGAUACGUGUAGUUGUCUGAAAGUAUCGUACGAAUAAGGAUCGGCUAACUCCGUGCCAGCAGCCGCGGUAAUACGGAGGAUUCAAGCGUUAUCCGGAUUUAUUGGGUUUAAAGGGUGCGUAGGCGGUCGGAUAAGUUAGAGGUGAAAUCCCGCGGGUCAACUUCGGAAUUGCCGUUGAUACUGGACGGCUAGAGAGCAGUUGCGGUAGGCGGAAUGUAUGGUGUAGCGGUGAAAUGCUUAGAGAUCAUACAGAACACCGAUUGCGAAGGCAGCUUACCAAGCUACUACUGACGUUGAGGCACGAAAGCGUGGGGAGCAAACAGGAUUUGAUACCCGGGUAGUC
rnacentral:rRNA from 1 species